GCCUUCGUGGUGUAGUGGUCAGCACGCUCGGCGCGUAUUCGAGAGGUCCGUGGUUCGAUUCCCGGCGAAGACG
rnacentral:tRNA from 1 species